rnacentral:rRNA from 1 species
AUGGGGAUGAAGGACUGUAAGCCCUCACCCACACCGUUGUCUUCUUCAGAAAAACUUUCAGCCUUUGAAGGUGAGCCACUUAAGGAAGAAGAGAGUACCAAGUACAGAAGUGCAGUAGGAGCCCUACAGUAUCUUACACUGACAAGACCAGAUAUAUCCUUUGCUGCUAACAAGGUUUGUCAGUAUCUCCAUGCACCUACUACUGUACAUUGGACAGCUGUUAAAAGAAUUGUACGAUAUAUCAAGCACACUGUGAACUUAGGCCUUCAGUUCAGGCAUUCCACCUCGACCCUUGUUAGUGCAUUUUCUGAUGCUGACUGGGCAGGGUGUAGUGAUGACAGAAGAUCAACUGGAGGUUUUGCUAUUUUCUUUGGUGCUAAUCUUAUUUCUUGGAGUGCUAGAAAACAAGCCACAGUAUCCAGGUCAAGUACAGAAGCUGAAUACAAGUCACUAGCAAAUGCUACUGCUGAGAUUCUCUGGGUAGAAUCAUUGCUCAAUGAAUUGGGGAUUAAACAACAUCGUGUGUCUUGCUUGUGGUGUGACAAUUUGGGAGCUACAUAUCUCUCUGCAAAUCCAGUGUUUCAUGGUAGAACCAAACACAUAGAAAUUGAUUUCCAUUUUGUACGAGAAAGAGUUGCAGAGAAGCUGGACAUAUGGUUUAUUCCUUCAAGAGACCAAGUGGCAGAUGGUUUCGCUAAAGCUUUGCCAGUCAAGUUAUUUGAAGAGUUCAAGAAGAACCUUAAUGUAGGAUAG